CCUGAGCAAGCUGAUCCUCUCAAGGUGCCUGGGCUUCUGCCGGAGCUCUGAGGCCUGCAUGUGUGAAGUCUUCUCUAUUUCUCUCACAAGACAGAAUAAAGACACGAACAUACAGCCUCAGAGAAAAACGUCCUCGACUUAAAUCCAUAUGAAGAAAGCUGUGAUCAUUAAUCCUCCUUAUAAGCAGGCUAUUACAGCUGAAAGGUGGAGAGCCCUCGAGCACCUGGGUAGCCCUGGAGGACUGGAGAGAAAGGGCAAAGGAAAGGUUACACCAUGACUGUAACGUGUGAGGUCCAGGAAGAUGGCUCGGAGGGUAAAAGACGCAUCACACACGACAACCUGAAGGCCCACAUGGAAGACGGG